GGAGUGGUGGUGUAGUGGUAACACAUUGCAUCCGGAUGUGAGGAGGAAUGGUUCGAUGCCUUCCCGGUCCA
rnacentral:tRNA from 1 species